GUGUUGUGAGUAGAAUUUUGAGGAGGAAAAAUGAAUUUCAUCUAUUUUGGAAUAAGGCUGCAACAUAACAAAAUGAGGAUAAACUGAAGCGCUGUAAACAUCUUCCAGAUGCACUGGAAGAGGUUCAUGUC